CGGGGGUGGAUUAGUGGCGAACGGGUGAGUAACACGUGAGCAACCUGCCCUUGACUCUGGGAUAAGCCUGGGAAACUGGGUCUAAUACCGGAUAGGACCCCUUGCCGCAUGGUGGGGGGUGGAAAGCCUUGUGCGGUCUUGGAUGGGCUCGCGGCCUAUCAGCUUGUUGGUGGGGUGAUGGCCUACCAAGGCGACGACGGGUAGCCGGCCUGAGAGGGUGACCGGCCACACUGGGACUGAGACACGGCCCAGACUCCUACGGGAGGCAGCAGUGGGGAAUAUUGCACAAUGGGCGCAAGCCUGAUGCAGCGACGCCGCGUGGGGGAUGACGGCCUUCGGGUUGUAAACCCCUUUCGGCAGGGAACAAGCCGCUUCGGUGGUGAGGGUACCUGCGGAAGAAGCGCCGGCUAACUACGUGCCAGCAGCCGCGGUAAUACGUAGGGCGCGAGCGUUAUCCGGAAUUAUUGGGCGUAAAGAGCUCGUAGGCGGUUUGUCGCGUCUGCUGUGAAAGCCCGGGGCUCAACCCCGGGUCUGCAGUGGGUACGGGCAGGCUGGAGUGCAGUAGGGGAGACUGGAAUUCCUGGUGUAGCGGUGAAAUGCGCAGAUAUCAGGAGGAACACCGAUGGCGAAGGCAGGUCUCUGGGCUGUAACUGACGCUGAGGAGCGAAAGCAUGGGGAGCGAACAGGAUUAGAUACCCUGGUAGUCCAUGCCGUAAACGUUGGGCACUAGGUGUGGGGGCCAUUCCACGGUUCCGCGCCGCAGCUAACGCAUUAAGUGCCCCGCCUGGGGAGUACGGCCGCAAGGCUAAAACUCAAAGGAAUUGACGGGGGCCCGCACAAGCGGCGGAGCAUGCGGAUUAAUUCGAUGCAACGCGAAGAACCUUACCAAGGCUUGACAUGUGCCGGACCGUCCCAGAGAUGGGGCUUCCCUUCGGGGCCGGUUCACAGGUGGUGCAUGGUUGUCGUCAGCUCGUGUCGUGAGAUGUUGGGUUAAGUCCCGCAACGAGCGCAACCCUCGUUCCAUGUUGCCAGCACUUCGGGUGGGGACUCAUGGGAGACUGCCGGGGUCAACUCGGAGGAAGGUGGGGACGACGUCAAAUCAUCAUGCCCCUUAUGUCUUGGGCUUCACGCAUGCUACAAUGGCCGGUACAAAGGGUUGCGAUACUGUGAGGUGGAGCCAAUCCCAGAAAGCCGGUCUCAGUUCGGAUUGGGGUCUGCAACUCGGCCCCAUGAAGUCGGAGUCGCUAGUAAUCGCAGAUCAGCAACGCUGCGGUGAAUACGUUCCCGGGCCUUGUACACACCGCCCGUCAAGUCACGAAAGU
rnacentral:rRNA from 1 species